GCCUCCGUAGCAUAGUGGU
rnacentral:siRNA from 1 species